rnacentral:rRNA from 1 species
AACGAACGCUGGCGGCAUGCCUAACACAUGCAAGUCGAACGAGACCUUCGGGUCUCGUGGCGCACGGGUGCGUAACGCGUGGGAACCUGCCCUUAGGUUCGGAAUAACUCCCCGAAAGGGGUGCUAAUAACGGGUAAUGUCUUCGGACCAAAGAUUUAUCGCCCUUGGAUGGGCCCGCGUUGGAUUAGCUAGUUGGUAGGGUAAAAGCCUACCAACGCGACGAUCCAUAGCUGGUCUGAGAGGAUGAUCAGCCACACUGGGACUGAGACACGGCCCAGACUCCUACGGGAGGCAGCAGUGUGGAAUACUGGACAAUGGGCGAAAGCCUGAGCCAGCAAUGCCGCGUGAGUGAUGAAGGCCUUAGGGUUGUAAAGCUCUUUUACCCGGGAUGAUAAUGACAGUACCGUGAGAAUAAGCUCCGGCUAACUCCGUG